rnacentral:tRNA from 1 species
GCCGGGGUGGCCGAGCCAGGUCCAACUUGAGAUCCUGUCCCCGCAAGGGGGCCCGGGUUCAAAUCCCGGCCCCGGCACCA